CCCCUCUCAGGAUCACACCUGGAGAGUUUCCAGUACUCUACCAGUCUCAGCUAUGGGAGGGAGAGUUGAGCAGAGUCAUACCCAUUCCAUUCCUGGCUUGAGCAGGGGCUGGCAAGUGGAAGGCCAUCGGCUACAAGU